AUUGAACGCUGGCGGCAUGCCUUACACAUGCAAGUCGAACGGCAGCACGGGAGCAAUCCUGGUGGCGAGUGGCGAACGGGUGAGUAAUAUAUCGGAACGUGCCCAGUCGUGGGGAUAACGUGGCGAAAGCUACGCUAAUACCGCAUACGAUCUAUGGAUGAAAGCGGGGGAUCGCAAGACCUCGCGCGAUUGGAGCGGCCGAUAUCAGAUUAGGUAGUUGGUGAGGUAAAGGCUCACCAAGCCGACGAUCUGUAGCUGGUCUGAGAGGACGACCAGCCACACUGGGACUGAGACACGGCCCAGACUCCUACGGGAGGCAGCAGUGGGGAAUUUUGGACAAUGGCGCAAGCCUGAUCCAGCAAUGCCGCGUGCAGGA
rnacentral:rRNA from 1 species